GGUGAGUAACGCGUAGGUAACCUACCUCAUAGCGGGGGAUAACUAUUGGAAACGAUAGCUAAUACCGCAUAAGAGAGACUAACGCAUGUUAGUAAUUUAAAAGGGGCAAUUGCUCCACUAUGAGAUGGACCUGCGUUGUAUUAGCUAGUUGGUUAGGUAAAGGCUCACCAAGGCGACGAUACAUAGCCACCUGAGAGGGUGAUCGGCCACACUGGGACUGAGACACGGCCCAG
rnacentral:rRNA from 1 species